rnacentral:rRNA from 1 species
UACGUAGGGUGCGAGCGUUUAAUCGGAAUUACUGGGCGUAAAGCGUGCGCAGGCGGUUCUCCAAGUCCGUUGUGAAAUCCCCGGGCUCAACCUGGGAACUGCAUCCGAGACUGCAUUGCUAGAGUAUGGGAGAGGGAAGCGGAAUUUCUGGUGUAGCAGUGAAAUGCGUAGAUAUCAGAAGGAACAUCAGUGGCGAAGGCGGCUUCCUGGACCAAUACUGACGAUCAGGUGCGAAAGCGUGGGGAGCAAACAGG